rnacentral:misc_RNA from 1 species
GUGAAUCAUCAAAUCUUUGAACGCAAAUUGCACUCUCUUCGGAUAGGAUGCCUGUUUGAGGUUAAUUAAAAAUAAUCUUUAACCAAUUUGGUUUGGGCAAAGGAAAUGAGCUCUCCGCGUUUAUAGCUGUAGCUUGAAAUAAAUGGUCAAGUCUCAUUUUAGUCGAGACUCGUAAGAAUAUUAUUUCGCGAAAUCUUCAUUAUGUGACUAUCAAGUUUUGAUGCAUACAAAUUUGCUUUGUAUGCGAUCAAUACAAAUAUUUUGAACAUUACCUCAAAUCAGGUAGGAGUACCCGCUGAA